rnacentral:rRNA from 1 species
AACUCCGUGCCAGCAGCCGCGGUAAUACGGAGGAUCCGAGCGUUAUCCGGAUUUAUUGGGUUUAAAGGGAGCGUAGGCGGGUUGUUAAGUCAGUUGUGAAAGUUUGCGGCUCAACCGUAAAAUUGCAGUUGAUACUGGCGACCUUGAGUGCAACAGAGGUAGGCGGAAUUCGUGGUGUAGCGGUGAAAUGCUUAGAUAUCACGAAGAACUCCGAUUGCGAAGGCAGCUUACUGGAUUGUAACUGACGCUGAUGCUCGAAAGUGUGGGUAUCAAACAGGAUUAGAUACCCUAGUAGUC